rnacentral:rRNA from 1 species
UGGGCGUAAGCGCGCGCAGGUGGUUUCUUAAGUCUGAUGUGAAAGCCCACGGCUCAACCGUGGAGGGUCAUUGGAAACUGGGAGACUUGAGUGCAGAAGAGGAAAGUGGAAUUCCAUGUGUAGCGGUGAAAUGCGUAGAGAUAUGGAGGAACACCAGUGGCGAAGGCGACUUUCUGGUCUGUAACUGACACUGAGGCGCGAAAGCGUGGGGAGCGGACCGGAUUAGAUACCCUGGUAGUCCACGCCGUACACGAUGAGUGCUAAGUGUUAGAGGGUUUCCUCCCCUUACUGCUGACCUUAACGCAUU